rnacentral:rRNA from 1 species
UACGGAGGGGGCUAGCGUUGUUCGGAAUUACUGGGCGUAAAGCGCACGUAGGCGGCUUUGUAAGUUAGAGGCGAAAGCCCGGGGCUCAACUCCGGAAUUGCCUUUAAGACUGCAUCGCUAGAAUUGUGGAGAGGUAAGUGGAAUUCCGAGUGUAGAGGUGAAAUUCGUAGAUAUUCGGAAGAACACCAGUGGCGAAGGCGACUUACUGGACACAUAUUGACGCUGAGGUGCGAAAGCGUGGGGAGCAAACAGG